rnacentral:rRNA from 1 species
CCUACGGGAGGCUGCAGUGGGGAAUAUUGGACAAUGGGGGGAACCCUGAUCCAGCCAUGCCGCGUGUGUGAAGAAGGCCCUCGGGUUGUAAAGCACUUUCAGUGAGGAAGAACGCCUGGUGGUUAAUACCCAUCAGGAAAGACAUCACUCACAGAAGAAGCACCGGCUAACUCCGUGCCAGCAGCCGCGGUAAUACGGAGGGUGCGAGCGUUAAUCGGAAUUACUGGGCGUAAAGCGCGCGUAGGUGGCUUGAUAAGCCGGUUGUGAAAGCCCCGGGCUCAACCUGGGAACGACAUCCGGAACUGUCAAGCUAGAGUGCAGGAGAGGAAGGUAGAAUUCCCGGUGUAGCGGUGAAAUGCGUAGAGAUCGGGAGGAAUACCAGUGGCGAAGGCGGCCUUCUGGACUGACACUGACACUGAGGUGCGAAAGCGUGGGUAGCAAACAGGAUUAGAUACCCCGGUAGUC